AUGGUAGGAUAGAGGCCUACCAUGGUGGUAACGGGUAACGGGGUGUUAGGGCACGACACCGGAGAGGGAGCCUGAGAAACGGCUACCACAUCCAAGGAAGGCAGCAGGCGCGCAAAUUACCCAAUCCCGACACGGGGAGGUAGUGACAAUAAAUAACAAUACAGGGUUCUUUGAAUCUUGUAAUUGGAAUGAGUACAAUUUAAAUCUCUUAACGAGGAACAAUUGGAGGGCAAGUCUGGUGCCAGCAGCCGCGGUAAUUCCAGCUCCAAUAGCGUAUAUUAAAGUCGUUGCAGUUAAAAAGCUCGUAGUUGAAUUUCGGGAUCAAUACGUCGGUCGUGCUUUCGGGUACGUACUGGCGUCAUUGGUUUCUCCUUUCUGACGAACCAUGAUGUCAUUAAUUUGGUGUUAUGGGGAGUUAGGACUGUUACUUUGAAAAAAUUAGAGUGUUUAAAGCAGGCAUUAGCUUGAAUACAUUAGCAUGGAAUAAUGAAAUAGGACGUUCGAUCCUAUUUUGUUGGUUUCUAGGAUCAACGUAAUGAUUAAUAGGGAUAGUUGGGGGCAUUAGUAUUCAAUUGUCAGGGGUGAAAUUCUUGGAUUUAUUGAAGACUAACUACUGCGAAAGCAUUUGCCAAGGAUGUUUUCAUUAAUCAAGAACGAAAGUUAGGGGAUCGAAGACGAUCAGAUACCGUCGUAGUCUUAACCAUAAACUAUGCCGACUGGGGAUCGGAUGAUGUUAAUUUUUUAAUGACUCAUUCGGCGCCUUACGGGAAACCAAAGUGUUUGGG
rnacentral:rRNA from 1 species